UAUGGUCCUGCCUUGAAUUAAGCUGAAGUUUACGUAUAUUUACACAUUUUCUCUUAGUACUCGUUGGAAUUCGCAGGCGCACUAGGUAAAGUUUCACAGAGUACAUCACAGUUUGUCAUUAAUACUCUUUUGGGUACCUCUAAAAUUCCCGUUUGCAUACUACACGCCACGGUACUCGUAAACGGUUUACCACGUCCGAGACGGUGUGGCCAGCGCCAGCUGCUAUUCGGCCGGUCUAUUAACUGCGCAAAUCGCCCAAUGACAGAAAGCAACGAAAAUAAAAAAGUAAUGGGGUUAGGGUAACCUGUGCAACCUGUUGGCCUCAACUACAUGAAAGUAGCACAAUGCAUAGUAAGAAAUACAAAUUAUGUACAUAGGCAAGUACGGAAAACAUUGGCAGGCUCGCAGGCAAUGAUGCUGACUUUUGGUAUUGGAAAGAUUCCGAUUCAUUUCUACAAACGAAUGAUUUCUUGUGUCACAUUUGUUAUUUCCCAUCUGUAUUUCUCUUUGUGUAGAAGAAUUGCAAAGUUACAUUAAAGAAAGUGGAGGGGAAAUUGUUACAGGGAGAGUUUUGCAGCAUGUUAUGACAACAUUGUCUCCAACAGACUUUAAUAUAACAGUAAACGAUCCCGAUCAUGAUUUUUUUCGUGGUAACACUGUCUCUUUGUGUGAUACUGCAGUCGAAGUCCUCGCGUUCCUGAGGCUCUGAAAGUGAAAGCGUCGCUCCUGCAGUACUGCUGAUGUCGGUCAAGUUGAAUUCAACAUGGUGAAACCUAAUGAAAAGGGAAAGAACGCAUUGCAUUUACGAGAGAUAGAAACAGUUGUUACGAAAAGCCGGUUGUUGGAAGGAACGAGAAGCAAUUCUUUCCAACUUGUUCCAGAUGUUUUGUCUUUGAAGUCGUCAUCCCUAACUGAACGCGAAGAGGAACUUUCAAGGGGUUUUCUUAAGUAUAAAAAAGGUAAAUCAUUCUUAAAUGAUGCCCACCUGCAAGUCUAAUGAGAAAUGUUGUGUGUUGUUAUUCUUCUCACGUUAUUCUUCUCACUGAAUAACCAAGUCCUGAAUAAAACACGAGACUGCUA